UAGAUGUGUAUUGUAUGUCUUUAUAGGCCAUUUGGCGUAAUGGAAUAUUGAAAAUAAACUAUCAAAACUAUCACAUACUGUUGAACGACUAAAUCAAUAAGGAAGUAUCAUCAAUAAUUAACUUGUUCUGGCGUAUUAUUUACUCGUAAAGAGUAGAAUAGACUAUGUACAUCAUGAAAUAUUAAAAUCAACGAGAGAAACCCAUGUUUUCAUUCUUUUAUCGGAAGCUUCAUUGUUUAAAGUGUUGGAAUUAUCUCACUAAUCCUGAAAAACUGGUAAUGUCAAAAGGAAUAUGCCACAAGGCCUUGUAUGCUAUUAAUAACUCGUAUCGUGACUGAGUGUAAUGCCAGCCGGCAUGGCAAAAAACAGAUGGUCCAAUUGGCUUCGAAUCGGGUGUAUAGUUGCCAUGGUUACAAUUUACCCGCUGUUUUUCGUUAAUCUUCAGUUUAACCUUACAGGAUACGUACCAUUACCUAUUUCAAACACUUUUGAAACCUUAAAGGCAGCAUAUCGCGGAUCAUCAAACAUUUUGACAAGAGGGAACAAAAGGAAACCUAGAGUAACACGUACUCUGACUGAUAUACACGAGGGCGUCAAAACUGAUAAUAAAAAAGAUGUUGGUGUAAAAGAUGUAAAUCUUACUGGUUCUACUCUUGAUAUAUUAUGGUAUAACCCUCCUGAAUGGCAAGAUGUUCGUUCGGAGGAUAACAUACUUCGGUCAAAAUGUAUAUAUGAAAAUUGCAGGGUGUCAAAAAACAAAUCAGACCUUCAAAAAUAUGCUGCAAUUAUAUUUUCUGUGACAGAACAGUUGAGUUACGUGCCCCCAAUAUCACGAGAGGAAAGAAAUCCAGAACAAGUAUGGAUAUUCUUCUACUCAGAAUCACCUGUUCAUCACUUUAGAAUUGCAUACCGGCAUGAUAACUGGAGAAAUACCAUGAAUUGGUCUAUGUCUUACAAUAUGGAUGCUGACAUUUUUCGUCCCUAUGGAGUCCUUGAGUCAAAGAAGGAAAUUAUAGAAAGAAAUUACAGUACUAUAUUCCAUCGCAAGACUAAAUUUGUGGCAUGGGCCGUGAGCCAUUGCGGAGCGCGAAGUAAAAGGGAUGAAUUUGUAUCUGAACUGUCUUCAUACGGCAUUCAAAUAGAUAUAUUUGGAAAAUGUGGUGACAAUUCUUUUUAUAGCAGUUCAGAACUAAGAAAGAUCAUUAGCAGAGAUUACAAAUUUUAUUUAAGUUUUGAAAACAGUUUGUGCAAAGAUUAUAUAACUGAAAAGUUUUUUGCAUAUUAUGAUUUGGAUGUUGUUCUAAUCGUAAGGGGAGGUUUGGAUUACGACAGGUAUCUCCCGAAUGAGACUUUUAUAAACACAGCACAUUUUAAUUCAGCUGAAAAAUUGGCAAACUAUAUUCACAGUGUUGGUUCCUCCGAGGAAUCAUACGUAAGUUAUCUUCGCCAAAAGGAUAGAUACACUGCUAAGCAUAUAUACCAGAUCCCGCUAACUCCAUGCAUUAUUUGUGAAAAGCUUAACAAACUGAAUGAAAGUAGGAAAACGUUCGAGGAUCAUGUGUCAUAUAUUCAUCAAGAAACGUGCUGGAAUCCUACAGAUAUAACUCCAACAUCACUAACCUGGUUAAAAUUCGCACCAAUCGUACUAUUAAUCUUCAGUAUAUGUUUGUUUCUAAUUGUUUGGAAGUGCAACAACCUGACGCUUUUACAUAAACGUUUUUUGAAUGCCUGUUCCAAAGUAUGAUAAAGUACAUAUUUUCACUACUGAAUUACAUUACGUUUGUCAGUAUUUUCAGUGUUACUGUUGAUGAUUUUUGCCCUUACCUUGCUAAAUUUCUAUAAUGAACUUGUCCAUCUUCCAAUUUGGACUGUAUCAUUAACUGUUAAAAGGGGUUAAAAAGAUACUGGCUGAAUAGCGAACAGUGCAGAUCACGGGUGUGCAAGCUGAUUGGUCGCAAAGGCAGAAUCAAUCGUGCCCAGCAUGGAAUGACAUGUUGGCCUAAUUGAUUUUGUUUUACAAUGAGACGAUAGCAAAGGAAAGUAAGCAAUGGUUAGUAUACGAGGAGUUGCCUUCCGACUGUAUCCUAGAGCUACAUUUUUUAAACUGAUUUGGUAUGGACUUAUUUUCCUGACGUUAUCGUUCGUGUUGCUCAUGUUUACGAUCGACAGUAGCCCAACAAUCAACUACCCGUAUAACAUGUACAAAGGAUAUCCUUUGACAAUUUAUGACAAUCCAUACAACAUCAACAAAACAGAAUGCAAGAAUUUUAAAGUGGUUAUUGUAGUACAUUCCGCGGUUACUAAUUUCAACAAACGUGACGUCAUCAGAAAAACCUGGGGUAAUAAGGCCUUACUUAGAAGGUACGGAACGAAACUUGUGUUUUUUCUAGGAAUGCCACUCAAAAAAGACUUGCAAAUUCUUAUUAAUGAAGAAUCGGUGAAGAACGAUGAUAUGGUACAAGGACAUUUUCUAGAUUCAUAUACAAACAUAACUCAUAAAGCUGUACUUUGGCUGCGAUGGAUAAAUGAAAAUUGUCCGAGUGUACAAACUGUGUUGAAACUAGAUGACGAUGUGUUUGUAAAUGUGUUUUCAUUUCAUCAUCAUUUACCAUUGUUUGAAAUUGAAAGUAGGCUGAAUAGACAUAUUUGGUGUGAAGUUGUACCAGUGGGUACCCAGCGCAUUCAACGAAAAACUGGCCUGAAAUGGAGGGUUGCUGAACAUGAAUUAAUGGGCUUGACACAUUACCCUUUAACACUAUGUCGUGGAUAUUUUGUGGUGAUGACGAUAGAAAGUGUCAGAACAAUGUAUGAGGCAGCCAAGGAAACACCUUUUUUCUGGAUUGACGACUUUUAUAUAUUUGGGACUCUAGCAAAUAAAACAGGAGCUCGUUUUUCAUCGCUUCAGUUUCUAGCCGAAGAAAAGGAUGCGUUCAGCUGUUUUACAUCAACAAAAUCUAUCUGCCAAAUAAUGGGAGUAUUACUAGAUUCAAACGAUGUUAUGGAGACAUUUUGGAAAUACACAAUUCAGCAGUUGAAUUCCAUUUCGUGAUCAAUGCUAUUAUUUGAUAUCGUGGGAAAGAGACCAUAUGUACACAUUUUUAAGAUUUAAGAAAUUUUCACUUUCAAUAUUUAUCUUUAUUAUUAUUAAGAAUAUAUAUUUACUCAUAUGCAUAAACUGCCGUGAAACUAUAUAGAUAUUGAUGACAAAAUGGUCAAUUGGUUUGUUUCAGUUUGAAGUUCAUGCAUCACUGAAUAUAUCUAUUCCCUGUAUAA